GACGUAGGGUGCGAGCGUUGUCCGGAUUUAUUGGGCGUAAAGAGCUCGUAGGCGGCUCGUCGCGUCGACCGUGAAAACCCGCGGCUUAACUGCGGGCUUGCGGUUGAUACGGGCGGGCUAGAGUUCGGUAGGGGAGACUGGAAUUCCGGGUGGAGCGGUGAAAUGCGUAGAGAUCCGGAGGAACACCGAAGGCGAAGGCAGUCUCCUGGCAAGUUACUGACGCUCAGGUGCGAAAGCUAGGGGAGCGAACAGG
rnacentral:rRNA from 1 species